UAGUCGUUGCCCCAAAACCUCAUCUCUCAACUUAUUGACUUGUCCUGCCGCAAGCAGUCCAAGCUAGGACUCAGUCUGUAACAGUCUGUGACUAGGCACUGUGCCAGGCAGUAGGGAUUCUGAUACAAAAAAAAAACAGUGCCUGCCCUCCUGCAGCCUGCAGAAGAGAGCACUAGAGUUGGACCUCAUACAGUCAGUCGUAAGGAGAGAACAAGGUCCCCUGGCAUGUUCUUCAAGUUCAUGCUCAUGCUCUUCAAUCCUUUUUUUUUUCCUUCCAAACAUGAGAAGAGACCUCCCAGCCUCUGAUGAGAUGCACCAAAUCUUUGCCCUCUUUGUCUUGCACACACAAACCACACCAAAAAAAAUACACCUGUAUCAGACACAGAUAACACACUUAAUGGUUCCAUGUUGCUUUCCUAUAGACUUGAGACUCAGCGCAUGUCAUCUUCAGUAACUGACUCAGCCCUUCUAUCUGGUAUCUUAAGGACCAUCUCAACCUACGCUGGUUGACCUGCUUGGAUGUACCAGGCACAGGAGAUAAGAGGUGAAUAAGAUCUUUCUGAGCACCUAGAGAUGACAAUGUAACUGAGUGGGACCCUAUGGGGCCUUCCCAGGACCCUGUUAUGUCCCCCUUCAUGUCCUCCACCUGCCAUUUGUCUGUAGAAAACUUUGUCUCCUAGGCUUCCCUGAAUUCCAAAGAGUACACUGAGUCAGAGAAGUGAGAAAAUACGGAAAGAAAGGAAAACAGUCAAGCAAGACAAAAAGUAAUAGUUUAGCCAUCAAAGUCAAGGAAGUUUAGUUCCUUCUCAAGGGCUCUAGGUAAUAUUCUGAGCCAUGUCCUUUGAGCUGGUUUGCAGAGACUGAAACCCCCACCAGGUGGAAGAACUUAACUGCAUGCUGCCCACAAGCAGGGAGACCCCAGACUCUUUGGAACCAGAAGGUUGAUGAUGUUGACUCCCCCACGAUCUCACCACCAGCCAAUCAGAAGAAUCUGCUAGCUGAUUGCGCACCCCACAACCCUUCUCCCCUUCUCCCUCACCCUAUCUUUAAACACCUUCUCUUGAAAGCCUCUGAGGAAUUUAGGCCUUUUAAGCACUAGUUUCCCUGGACUCCUUGCUUGGUGCCCUGCAAUAAAUCCUGCACUUUCCUUCACCACAACCUGGUGUCAGGAGAUUGGCUUUACCACAAGCGGGCAAGCAGACCCAAGUUUGGUUUGGUAACAACAGUCUAGUGGGAGAGCCAGGCACAUAAUCAGAUAGUCAUAGUAUAAUAUGGGAGGCACACAGGUAAGGCACUGCGAUGUGAGUGGAGAGGGGCAUCUGAUACAGCCUGGUUGUUGACCAGGAGGACACCAGGGGAGGCUUCCUGGAGGAGGCAGUGAAGAGAAGCAGUAAAUAUGAAAUUGUGCCUAUGCAGUGGCUUGGCUCCUGCCAUUUCAGUUUCUCUUAAUCAUGUCUCAUGACUGUGCUCCCUUCCCUUCCUUCUCAGGAUGCCCCAGGCAAUGGGGAUUUUGGGAAAAUGAAUCCAUGUGCAUGCGGUAUGACUGUGGGUGGAUUUUCUUCCCCCUCCUUUUACUUAAAGUUAACAUGAUAACACCAAUAACUGAUUAUGUAAGAAGAGCUAAAUAUAUAAAGCAAAAGGUUAUUUCCGCUGGCUAUUUUUAAGUGGUGCCCAGAUACCCGCCUUGGCCUUUCAACUCCCGUGUAACUGAAGGCCAGGGCUGAAUUUUCAAAUGUUGCACCACGAUCCUUCAGAGCUGGAAAACAGCUCCUGGCAGAUAGAAAAGGGCAGGGCUGCGGCUGACUUGAGCGCUGAGUCAGGGCUGUACCAGGCUCUGCACAAAGCAGCUACAGCUGCGAGUCAAAGGCCUCUUUAACGAGGGAAGCCGAGCGGGGAGGCGGCUGUCAACCCCUUCUCGUCGUGCAGUCCUCCCCACAGGUAGCGAGGAUCAUCGUUCCUGUCCAGACUGCAUGAGCACAGAAAGAGGAACGCUGUGAAGACGUUAGAGCUGCCACUAAGGACCUCUAAGACCUUGGGGAAAUUAACUUCCUUAAGCCUCACCGUCUUCGUCAGUCAAGAGAGAAUAUGACUGACACCCCCAUCAGGCAGAUUAUGUACCUCCACAUGCCUCAAUUUACUCAUUAAGCAAAUGGAGUUGAUGUGAGGAUUAAAUGAAAUAACAUUUGUGAAGAUGUCCACUCCAGCCCUCGGUACACAGUGGAAGGAUGCUGGCCAAUCUGGGAGGACCAGUCAGCCUGACUCGGGCAGGGCCUGCAACAGUUAAUCCCCGAAUCUCUUCUCUCAUCAAGUCUGGACCGCAAGGCCACUGGCAACUGUCCAGGUGGAGGAUAAAUGUCAGAGCUUUCCAGAAACUCCCUCAAGAGCCCAUCCCUCGCCAAGACUGAUCCAGAAAGAGAUGGAAACAGAUGAAUACACUGAGCAUGGUUGGUGAAGAUGAAUAAACAAAACCGGGCAUUUAUCCCAUGGGUUCAUUCAUUCCACAGUCACGGAUGGAAGUCCCACUCUGGGCCAGGCACUGAAUGCCGCACGGAUGUGGCCGUGAAUCUAACACAGAUCUGGUCAUUAAAAACAGUCGAUCGAGGAAGGGGGAGCCACGGGAAAGCAAUUUGGGGAGGGGGCAGAGCUGCACAGGGCACUGUGUGAGUAGAGGGGGAGGGUCUCUAGCACGGCCCGGGGAAGGAGGGAGAGCCAGGAAUCUGGAAGGGCAAUACCCACGUGCUUCUGGCAGGCACCGUCUUGAGGGAGAACACAGAAGCUAAUGAAUGGAGAAACAGCAGCCCCCAUCAAGGGGCCAGCUCAGAACCACUUGGGGGGACCCUGGCCUCAGCUCCCAUCCUCUCAGUCGUCAGAACCUUUCACCAGAAAGUAAGCCCCCUGAGGGCAAGGACAUGGUCAGGCUGCACCCUCAAGCUUAGAAGAGUGACAAAUGCAUGGGAGGCACUCAGCCUCUGGUGCAUAAAUAAACCCCCUGAGGGUGAGCUCAUGACUGACCCCCAGGAGCCCUUGGCAUUCGUGAAAGGUGACACUGCCCAGUUUCCUCUCGAUAAGCAUAAAAAGCAUCAUGUACUAUAACCCUCUAACUGGUGCCCAACAGGCAUCUCCUUAGCCUCCAGCAUGAGCGUCCUUCACAGGCACAAACAAGGGUUUUUUUUUCCAUCUCCCAAAGUGCCCCAACUUCCCCACAGUCACACUCCUUCCAUAAGCCCCAGGGCAUGGCUGUGAGCGUCAUGUACCACUGUGGACUGAGGCCAGAAGGAGCAGAUGGUUUGGUACCAGUGUCUUCACCUUGGCCUCUACAGAAGAACAUCACAGUACUGUCACCCACACCCAGUCCUGGGCUCCCUGCAGGCCCAUCUCAAAAGUCAAAAAAUAUCUGCCACCAACUGUCGGUUAUUUGGGCAGUGACGCCAGAUUUGGAGAGCUGCUACAACCACUCCUCCCCAGGGAUCUCCUCCCUCACCUGGCCGAGCAAACACUCAUCAUGUCUUUGUUAUUUCUCCCCAGUAUCUUUCCAGGGAGCCAGAUACCUAGCCAGCAGGCAGAAUGGACCAAGAUGGAUGUCCGUGGGGGAGGAAGCCAGGUUCACUGAGCCAGGCAUGCCUUAUCCAAUAUUUACCAACACACCU